rnacentral:rRNA from 1 species
GGCCGCGGGAAUUCGAUUCAGGCCUAACACAUGCAAGUCGAGCGGUAGAGAGAAGCUUGCUUCUCUUGAAAAAAGCGGACGGGUGAGUAAUGCCUAGGAAUCUGCCUGGUAGUGGGGGAUAACGUUCGGAAACGGACGCUAAUACCGCAUACGUCCUACGGGAGAAAGCAGGGGACCUUCGGGCCUUGCGCUAUCAGAUGAGCCUAGGUCGGAUUAGCUAGUUGGUGAGGUAAUGGCUCACCAAGGCGACGAUCCGUAACUGGUCUGAGAGGAUGAUCAGUCACACUGGAACUGAAACACAUUCCACACUCCCA